UACGGAGGGGGCUAGCGUUGUUCGGAAUUACUGGGCGUAAAGCGCACGUAGGCGGCUUUGUAAGUUAGAGGUGAAAGCCCGGGGCUCAACUCCGGAAUUGCCUUUAAGACUGCAUCGCUAGAAUUGUGGAGAGGUAAGUGGAAUUCCGAGUGUAGAGGUGAAAUUCGUAGAUAUUCGCAAGAACACCAGUGGCGAAGGCGGCUCACUGGCCCGGUACUGACACUGAGGUGCGAAAGCGUGGGGAGCAAACAGG
rnacentral:rRNA from 1 species